rnacentral:rRNA from 1 species
UACAGAGGUCUCAAGCGUUGUUCGGAUUCAUUGGGCGUAAAGGGUGCGUAGGUGGCGCUGUAAGUCGGGUGUGAAAUUUCGAGGCUUAACCUCGAAACUGCAUUCGAUACUGCGGUGCUUGAGGACUGGAGAGGAGACUGGAAUUCAUGGUGUAGCAGUGAAAUGCGUAGAGAUCAUGAGGAAGACCAGUGGCGAAGGCGGGUCUCUGGACAGUUCCUGACACUUAGGCACGAAGGCCAGGGGAGCAAACGGG